AGAUUGAACGCUGGCGGCAUGCUUUACACAUGCAAGUCGAACGGUAACAGGCCGCAAGGUGCUGACGAGUGGCGAACGGGUGAGUAAUGCAUCGGAACGUGCCCAGUCGUGGGGGAUAACGCAGCGAAAGCUGUGCUAAUACCGCAUACGAUCUAUGGAUGAAAGCGGGGGACCGAAAGGCCUCGCGCGAUUGGAGCGGCCGAUGUCAGAUUAGCUAGUUGGUGGGGUAAAGCCCACAAGGCGACGAUCUGUAGCUGGUCUGAGAGGACGACCAGCCACACUGGAACUGAGACACGGUCCA
rnacentral:rRNA from 1 species